rnacentral:rRNA from 1 species
GGAUGAACGACUGGCGGCGUGCCUACACAUGCAAGUCGAGCGGAGCGGUCUUGUAUGAAGUUUUCGGUAUGGAAGUCAGGAUUGUCUUAGCGGCGGACGGGUGGAGUAACGACGUAGGAGUAAACCCUGCCUUAUACUGGGGGAGUAACAGCCAGAAAUGGCUGCUAAUACCGCAUAAGCGCACGGCGCCGCAUGGCGCAGUGUGAAAAACUCCGGUGGUAUAAGAUGGAUCCGCGCCUGAUUAGCUAGUUGGCGGGGGCAGCGGCCCACCAAGGCGACGAUCAGUAGCCGGCCUGAGAGGGCGACCGGCCACAUUGGGACUGAGACACGGCCCAAACUCCUACGGGAGGCAGCAGUGGGGAAUAUUGCACAAUGGGGGGAACCCUGAUGCAGCGACGCCGCGUGAGUGAAGAAGUAUUUUCGGUAUGUAAAGCUCUAUCAGCAGGGAAGAAGAUGACGGUACCUGACUAAGAAGCCCCGGCUAACUACGUG